GACGGAGGGUGCUAGCGUUGUUCGGAAUUAUUGGGCGUAAAGCGCGCGCAGGCGGUCCUUUAAGUCUGAUGUGAAAGCCCACGGCUCAACCGUGGAGGGUCAUUGGAAACUGGGGGACUUGAGUACAGAAGAGAAGAGUGGAAUUCCACGUGUAGCGGUGAAAUGCGUAGAGAUGUGGAGGAACACCAGUGGCGAAGGCGACUCUUUGGUCUGUAACUGACGCUGAGGCGCGAAAGCGUGGGGAGCAAACAGG
rnacentral:rRNA from 1 species